GCCUGUUGCAGGAUCUUAAGUUUCGUCAGCGCCACUUGUGCCGGCAACCACGCCUUCUGGCAAAAAUGUACUGGAAACAUGACUUUCUGAAGCUGAGGCUACGGCAACACCCAACAAAGGUGCCCAUUUCCUGCGAGGAAAGUGCCUCUUGAGCAACUGGCCACUGAGAGCGGGAGUGCAGUGCGCGCCCUAAUUAUCGCAUAAGAUAACUGGCUCGCAUGUUGUUAAGAACGCCGCUUCGCCGUGCCACUUCCCGCACAUCAGCAAGAAGCUCGAAAGGCACGCACUGCCGGGGUCUGCCAGCCGUUCCGCUUUUGUGGAGCUCGCGUCCCUCCGGAACAGCCAGGCGCCAUGCUCGGCUGAGCGCGGCCGGUGGCCGAACCACGUGCGCGGCGUGCGCCACCCUUGCUGCGAACGGCCGGGCUCAAAAGGCACGGUCGGCCGCUGUGGAAACGCUUGCACUCAGAAGCCUCGGAGCAGCAAUGAAGUACACGGCCUGGAUCGCGCUGGCAGUUUGCGCGGCCUUCAUCCUGCCUUUUGCGGAUGCCGGUGUCCUAGGUGGUGGAGGGCCUGACCUGACCCUGCACAAGGACCACUACGGCCGAUUCGGUAUCAGUGUACGAUACGACCACAGGGGCUACGGCUACCUGCCGCUGGGACACUACGGCGGCGGCUAUGGAGGUGGUCACUAAUCCGAACCCUCCCGCAAGCAACGACAGCAGCCAUCGCAGAAUGACUAUGGCAAUCGAAACCGUCCACUGGUACUCGAGAUAAACAUGCGACACCUGGCGAGACUGUCCUUUUUCGUUGAAGCCACUGUCAAUAAGGGAAUCGCCCAUGAAGCUAGCAUAUGCAAGCUUCCAGCAUCACAAGGUGGUUGCUUCACAACAUGAGGCUACUUCGGCAGAAAGCUUUGCUUUUAAACUGCAACACAAAUUACAGUAGUGACGUAACUUUAAUAUUUAUACGGAACAGCACUGGUUGAAUAAAACAACGCUCAGCCUAGAGCUGGCUUCAGGCUCAA